rnacentral:rRNA from 1 species
AUUGAACGCUGGCGGCAGGCCUAACACAUGCAAGUCGAGCGGAUGAAGGGAGCUUGCUCCUGGAUUCAGCGGCGGACGGGUGAGUAAUGCCUAGGAAUCUGCCUGGUAGUGGGGGAUGACGUCCGGAAACGGGCGCUAGUACCGCAUACGUCCUGAGGGAGAAAGUGGGGGAUCUUCGGACCUCACGCUAUCAGAUGAGCCUAGGUCGGAUUAGCUAGUUGGUGGGGUAAAGGCCUACCAAGGCGACGAUCCGUAACUGGUCUGAGAGGAUGAUCAGUCACACUGGAACUGAGACACGGUCCAGACUCCUACGGGAGGCAGCAGUGGGGAAUAUUGGACAAUGGGCGAAAGCCUGAUCCAGCCAUGCCGCGUGUGUGAAGAAGGUCUUCGGAUUGUAAAGCACUUUAAGUUGGGAGGAAGGGCAGUAAGUUAAUACCUUGCUGUUUUGACGUUACCAACAGAAUAAGCACCGGCUAACUUCGUG